UGUUUCCCAGAACUGCAUGUUGGUCUGUUGUUGAGCGGCUGGUAUCACCCCUCCCCCAUUAUCCCCCAUGUUGCUCCACCUCCUUGUGGGAGGAGCCAGGCGAGGCCACAGAUCAGACUCCUCCAUCUCAUCCCACCAACUCUGUCAGUCCACCAGGCCACUGCAGUAACAGCCAUAUCUUCACGUCGCGUAGCUUCAGUACCAUCUCAUCCCACCAACUCUGUCAGUCCACCAGGCCACUGCAGUAACAGCCAUAUCUUCACGUCGCGUAGCUUCAGUACCAUCUCAUCCCACCAACUCUGUCAGUCCACCAGGCCACUGCAGUAACAGCCAUAUCUUCACGUCGCGUAGCUUCAGUACCAUCUCAUCCCACCAACUCUGUCAGUCCACCAGGCCACUGCAGUAACAGCCACAUCUUCACAUCACAAAGCUUCAGUACCAUCUGAAUGUGUUGAAGUACCAUCCAGGAUCCUGUGGCAACGUCAAUAUGAAACAGCAUUGACCCGUGAUCACCACCAACCAGGGAUCCACAGCGGUUGUCUUGGACACCCAGGGAAAACAGCAUUGACCCGUGAUCACCACCAACCAGGGAUCCACAGCGGUUGUCUUGGACACCCAGGGAAAACAGCACUGACCCGUGAUCACCACCAACCAGGGAUCCACAGCGGUUGUCUUGGACACCCAGUGAAACAGCAUUGACCCGUGAUCACCACCAACCAGGGAUCCACAGCGGUUGCCUUGGACACCCAGUGAAACAGCACUGACCCGUGAUCACCACCAACCAGGGAUCCACAGCGGUUGUCUUGGGCACCCAGGGAAAACAGCAUUGACCCGUGAUCACCACCAACCAGGGAUCCACAGCGGUUGUCUUGGACACCCAGGGAAAACAGCACUGACCCGUGAUCACCACCAACCAGGGAUCCACAGCGGUUGUCUUGGACACCCAGUGAAACAGCAUUGACCCGUGAUCACCACCAACCAGGGAUCCACAGCGGUUGCCUUGGACACCCAGUGAAACAGCACUGACCCGUGAUCACCACCAACCAGGGAUCCACAGCGGUUGCCUUGGACACCCAGGCUUCACUCAAGAUCAACAAAAGGACAUUUGGAAGGAUCCCAUUGAGCAAAGUAAACAACGAUAUAUUUUUUCAUGUCUUUUGCUCGUAGGGAUGACUUCCCGAGAGAGCACACCAGGCAGGAGGGAGCACUUUGAUGUGAUUGGCUGUUCAGCAGGAAGUUUCAUCUGGCCACACAGAAGGGAUGAUGAAUCUGACAGAGAAUGUUUUUUUUUAAUAAGUAUUAAAAAAAGAUGAAAAGUA